ensembl:rRNA 5S_rRNA 5S ribosomal RNA
ACAAGUAGCUGUUCCACACUGAAUGCACUUGACUUUAUCUUAUCUUGGAAGCUAAGCAAUCCUAAGCCUGACAAGUAUUUGGCUUGGAGAGCAAACUGGAAACCCAGGUGCUAUAGAUA